rnacentral:rRNA from 1 species
AUUGAACGCUGGCGGCAGGCCUAACACAUGCAAGUCGAGCGAGCGGCGGACGGGUGAGUAAUGUCUGGGAAACUGCCUGAUGGAGGGGGAUAACUACUGGAAACGGUAGCUAAUACCGCAUACCAUCAGAUGUGCCCAGAUGGGAUUAGCUAGUAGGUGGGGUAACGGUUCACCUAGGCGACGAUCCCUAGCGGGUCUGAGAGGAUGAUCCACAACACUGGGACUGAAACACGGCCCAGACUCCUGCGGGAGGCAGCAGUGGGGAAUAUUGGACAAUAGGGGGAACCGUGGUCCAGCCAUGCCGCGUGUGUGAAGAAGGCCUUAUGGUUGUAAAGCACUUUAAGCGAGGAGGCGUUACUCGCAGAAUAAUCACCGGCUAACUCUGUGCCAGCAGCCGCGGUAAUUC